rnacentral:rRNA from 1 species
AGUGAACGCUGGCGGUAGGCCUAACACAUGCAAGUCGAACGGCAGCACAGUAAGAGCUUGCUCUUACGGGUGGCGAGUGGCGGACGGGUGAGGAAUACAUCGGAAUCUACUUUUUCGUGGGGGAUAACGUAGGGAAACUUACGCUAAUACCGCAUACGACCUACGGGUGAAAGCAGGGGAUCUUCUGACCUUGCGCGAUUGAAUGAGCCGAUGCCGGAUUAGCUAGUUGGCGGGGUAAAGGCCCACCAAGGCGACGAUCCGUAGCUGGUCGGAGAGGAUGGUCGGCGACCCUGGAACUGGGACACGGUCCAGGCGCCUGCGGGAGGCAGCAGUGGGGAAUAUUGGACAAUAGGCGCAAGCCUGGUACAGUCAUACCGAGUGGGUGAAGAAGGCCUUCGGGUUGUAAAGCCCUUUUGUUGGGAAAGAAAAGCAGCAGGUUAAUACCCCGCUGUUCUGACGGUACCCAAAGAAUAAGCACCGGCUAACUUCGUG